UGUGUUCUGGUUCUCCUCCUGAUUGAUUGUUGUUGUUCGACUGGUUACGGUUUCCAGCUUGUGGGUACCUUCGAUUUUGAUUCUGAUUGUUCCAUUGAUUUGGGCUUCCGGGUUGCUGAAACUUGGCUGGGAGGGUUUAGCUGGUUAUGGUUUUAAUGCUGAGGAUAGGUCUGGUUCUGGGUUGUUGAAACUCCUGGGAUCGUGGGGUGAGGGUUUAAGCGGAGGAGCAGAGGUUGAGUACUCAUUUGGGAUAUGGCAGAGUGAAAUGAGAAGGGUGGAGAGGACGUACCUUGUUGAAGAUGGAAGAAGACAAUGCUGGGCUUCGAGCGCGUCGAAUUGCCAUUUUCAGAGAGGCCAUUUCUGAAGAGGAGAGAUUGAUUUG
rnacentral:lncRNA from 1 species